CAAGUACUUCCUCCGUCCGGAAUUACUUGUCAUCAAAAUGGAUGUGUCUAGAACUAAAAUACAUCUAGAUACAUCCAUUUCAAUGGCAAGUAUUUUCGGACGGAGGGAGUACAAG
rnacentral:pre_miRNA from 1 species